GAAGCCUGGUGGGCUGCCGUCUCUGGGGUCGCACAGAGUCGGACACGACUGAAGCGACUUAGCAGCAGCAGUAGCAGCAGUAAGAGAAAAUAGAAAUUAUUAACUUUUUUUUGUCAUCAUAUUCUGCAUAAGUGGUCGCCUAAAAUGGAGAACUAAUAGGAGUAAGAAAGGAUAUGAUAGUGCUCUUUGGUUGUUCAUGUUUCAUAGAACACCAUCACCUUCUGAGUGCCAAGCAAACUGUGGCCUCUUGAGCGCCCUCUUCUCCAAAUAAAAAUUGUUAGAGUAGUCUUUGUGCUCUGUGGCUGGGGAAGAGACUUUUAUUUUUCUGAGGAUCCUUGCUAGUCCUUUUUGGUAGAUAAUUGUCAGAAGGACCCCAGGUUGUAACCAGUUAGUUAAGGAAAUUGAUAUUAACCUUUUGCAUAGAAUUAAAUUGUUUAAUAGGAAUUGAAGAACCAGAAUACAAGUCCUGUUUUCUGGGACAUGAGCAUAGUUUCAUGAGUGUGGAAUAUGUUUGUCAAAUUAAAAUUUCUCUCUACAUGAAGUUAAUUAAUCCAUUAUAAUUUGAACCUGAUUUUAAUGAAAACCAAACAAAAUUGAACAUCAAUGAGUAAGUAAAUCUCUGUGCCAGAGAUUCGGAGACUUUUUGGGUCAUGGUGUCAUACAAACUUGUCAUACAAAAACAUACAAGUUUGUCAUACAAACUUGAAGUUAGACGUGGUAUUAGAGGCUGUGACUUGGUAAUUCAACUGUUUUGACUUUAUCACCAGUGUGUGCUGGUUCAUACACAGGGGCAGCAACAGUGUUCUAAUAAAUUUCCAGCUGUGGUGAUGCUGUAAUUGGUAUUGGUAGUGGCUGAGGUCUGGGAUUGUCUAUCUGAGCAGGACCUGUGCAGACAUCAUUCUCCAUGCUAAUAUUUGUUCUGUCCAUUUGUGGCACCUUGCGUGAAUAUUGGUGUGAUCCAUCUAGUUCAGGUACUUCUCCUUAAUAGUACUGUGUUCACAUUGUAUUCUGCAUAUAUAUUAUACCUAGGAGUUACACAGCUAAUGUUUUGAAGAGGUUCUCUGGGGAGGGAGUGGCACCAUGCAGUGGUGCUUAUGGGCUCUCAGUUCCCUAACUAGGGUUUGAACCUGGUCCAUGACAGUGAAAACCCAGUGAAAAUCCUAACCACGGGCCAUCAGGGAACUCCCUUAAAGAGGUUUUUAUUUUUUUUUAAAGAGGUUUUUAAACUCAGAAUUUCAUAAGAAAAAUAGAAUUCACUGAGGGAAAAUAAAUCGGUUAUCUAAAAAUAAUGCAUAACUCUUGACUAUAGUUAUGUGGCAUGAUGAAUAAAAUGCUAAAAGAUGUAAUGCCAGGUCUUGGUGUCCAAAAGUCUGGAUUGUGUUGUAUAAAAUACUCUCUAAAAAAUGUUUUUUAAAAGCUUUGUAAUUUUACGUUAUAAAAUAAUUCCAUAUGUUCUUUUUCUCAUAGAAAUCAUAUAUCUAUGGGUGCUUCUUACUUCUAACUAUCAAAUAUCCAUCCAUCUGCACUGGUCAGUUAAAUUGCUUCUCAUAACAGAUUGAUCUUGACAAAUUUGUUGUUUGUUUUUUUUUUUAUCAUUGGAUGUUAAUUGUACUGGCACAGUGGUAUAUAAAUCUAGGGAAGAAACAAAUCAGUGAUAUAGGAGAGUUAGUGGGUCUUCCCCAAAGCUUUCAUUUAGUUAAAUAAAUAAAUGUAUGUGAUGCACUUAGCACUGUGCCUGGCACAGAGGAUGUGGGCAGCAAGUGUUUUUAAAAUAAAUAAAAAUUUAGAUUCUUGUAAGCAUUAGUAGUAAUUAUAUUAGGGACUCUAAUCAGUCUUCUAUCUUUUAGAUUUGAAAGAAGCAGGAAAUAGGGCGUCGGACCUAAAAGGAAACAGGAAGUCUACCCAUGUUUUUAUUUCACAUUCCACUUGAAGUAUCUGCGAAACACAGGAAUACGGGGGAUGGAGCAUUCUGUGUCUGGAUGCCUGGAAUGUCUUGAAUUGAUUCAUUAAUAUCAGGAACAUUAUGUUUUUUUUUUGUCAAGGAGAUAAGUUUUCUUUCCUUUCCCAUUCAUUAGUCAAAGGAACAAAGUAUUCUUAAAUCCUCAUGCAAGCAGGUAUGUGAUUCAAAAAACAAAUCAUUUAGAUCAAACAGGAUGUGGAAAGAACUCAAAAAGAUAUGUAAGUAAUAACCUAAUUGUAUUAUAAAUGAGUAAUAUAUAAUCAUAGUGAGGGAGGUUAGAGAGGAAAAGAAUAAGCUUAAGUUACUUUGAAAAACCAUAAAGUUAAAGACAAAAAAUAUUAUACCCAGAUACUGUAUUGUUGGGUUUUUUCUACUUUAAUAUAUACUUGUAUUGGACAAAUAAGUAGAAAUAUUAUCAGUAAAUCAGACAUAAUAAAGCUCUACCUGGGUGGACAUGUGAUACUUUAUAUAUAACUUCUCUUGUAUCUGUACUGGAAUACACUUACAAGUGUCUUUGCACUGCCCCUGUAUCAUUUUAGGAUGGCUUAAAUUAAAGCUUUUGGAAAAACCGUGCUUUGAUAUGGUAUCUGCACAGCAGGAGAGUAAUCUUCCCAGUAUAAGAUAUUAAAAGACAUCUUUUUGGUGUUGGUUCUCAUAAAUCUUGGUGUCCUUCCAAUAUGUUACUGAUUUUACAGUUUAUAGCACUGUUUGGUGUGAGAGUCAUUGUAGAUACUGAAUUCUGAGUUUACUUCAUUUUCUGGUUUAUCCUUGUUUACAUAGGCUGUUUUCAGUUUGACUUGAAGUCUUAGGUUGAGGCUGAGGGUAUCAUAUGUUUGCAAACAGAAUAGUAUUGUAGGGAAGAAAAGGCCAUUUUCUCUACCUUUUGUGUCUUGACUAGGGCUCUGUUAAAAAAGACUGAUUAACAGCAGAAAGGCAUACACAUUUAUUAUUUUUAAAAAUUAAAACAAUUUUUUGGUGUUGUACACGACAUAGGAGCUUUCACCAGGAAAUGAGGCCCUAAGAAGCAGAUAAGCCUGGGCAUUCUUUUUUUUCAAAGAUGUCUUCUAGGUGUUUUUUUUUAAUUUUAAUUUUUAAAAAUUAUUGAAAUAUAACAUAUUUACAGGAGACUGGGAAGAUAAGGAACAAAGUUACAUAUAGUUUCACUAUAUAUUACAAUUUUUUUAAAGUAGAUAAAUUAAGAUUUUUAGUUGGAGUUUCAGUAUCAAAUUCUCAAAAAUUAAUAGAAUGAAUAUAUAGAGAAGUAGAAGAGCUUGAGCAGCCUUACACUAGGUUUGAUGAAGCGUGGGGAAUUGUGAGAAAUGUGAUAGGACAAUGGGAUACGAGCUAUGAAGGUAGUAAACUAGGGGGAAACAGAGUAAGACCUCUGGCUUUGAGUCAAGGAUGCUCUUUUUUCCUCCAGGUAUAGGGGUGACACCUCUCAUCUAGAGGUUUUUUGACCUGCUUCAGAAGAGAUGGGGGAGAUCAGAAAGCCCUUCCUGCAUCUGUUGUUAGUCAGAUUCCUUCAGCUUAAUAUAUUCAAUAUACAAAGGUACCAUAUUUUAGAGUGGUGUUUUGAACCCCAUCAGUAUCACAAAUACUCUUUAUAUUUAUGAUCAAGAACUUAGAACUAUACUCUUUUCACUUUGGAGUACACGUCCAGAGAUCAAUCAUUAGAGUAUAGCUAUUAUUCUAUAAUUUAUAUAUUACUAACUUAAUGUUAUAUAUACUAAAAUUGUCCUAUGAUAUAUUUCUGUCUACUAUCUUUGUCUUUAGAUGAAGUUUGUCAGAGCCUGCCUGGGUGUACAAAUGAUAGUUUUCUGAAUAUUCUCCAUAGGGGCCAAUGUAUUUUACAUGCUAAAAUUUUUUUUCAGUGUCUGUGGAAAUGAACUACAGCAUACUGCAGGCUCCCGCAUUACUUAUUAACCUCAUUUUAAAAUGGAUAAUUUACAACAGUGCUACUGUCCUAUUGGCUUUGUGCCAAAUGGAAUGGAUUUUCUGCCCUUAUUUUAAGUCUUAUAAAGAAAAUAUCCGUUAUAUUUCUGAGGAGCUUUGCCAAGAUCAACAAUUAUCACUUUGAAUUUUAGUAGUAUUUUAUAGUAUUCAAAGUGUUCUCGCAUAUUUCCUCAUUUGCUAGAGGUUAUAUCAGUACUUUUUCUAUGGUGGGAAUAUUAGUCCAGUCUGUCAUCACUUAUUAAGGUAUGUUUUGUCAUAAUUUGAAGAUGUAACUUGUAUGUGUCACCAAUAAUUCUCAA